UGUGACAAAUGUAGCCGUCUAGCCAGCAUGUAUUUUCUAAGGUCACUUGAGUCACUCGAGUAAGCCUUUGCUGCCAUGUUAUAGGAAAUAUACUUUAAUUUACCGUGCAUUGUAUGCUUGGAGAAAUAAACUGUAUGCAUGUUGUUUGCAAGCAGCUUUAUAUCUGAAACUACAAACAUCAUAGAUGAUUUACCAUUAAAAUUCUGCAGGUCUCUUUUUAUCAAAAGUUUACAAUUGUAGGCACCUGGAGCUAGGAUAUCAUUUAGAUAAUCUGAAAUUGUUACGACUUUUGCCCACCCUAUCCAUCUUUUUAUGAAUUAAUGUUUUUGAAACAUUAAAUUAGGAUUUGGGAUUCUAAAAUGAACCUAAACAUGCAAAACUUAAUGUUUCUGACCUGUCAGUCUAAAGGCAAUGGUACUCAGGUGAGUGUCAAGACCUGCAGGUCUCUAGUCGUGUAUAGUAGUUGUUUUUCAAUACUUUUGUUCUGUUGAAAUAUUGUAAUGUUUAAGUUUUUUUUUUUUUACCUAACUUGAACUGAAAGCUCUAUUGCACUUUUCUGGUCUUAAUAUGUCCAAGUUGAACGGCCAUCUGUCCCUCUUUUUCCCUCUCUGUAAACUUUUUAUUUGUGAUACAGACUGUGAAAUAACAAUGCAGACAUAUUCAAAAUUGUGUCGGGAUAUCUCUAACUGGCACCAAUGGAAUAAUACUAUGACAUUAUGCAAUAAACAAUCAUUUAAACAUCUUCAUACUAUGAAUGGGGUCAUUUGAUAUAUUAAACAAUCCAUCAAAGAAUAAUUACAAAACAGUUCAUAAAGAUAUUGUUUCCAGAAUGCAAUGCUUCGAAGUGUAAUAUUUUUAUAUAUUAGAGUAUUUUAAAAGUUUUCUUCUAAAUUGACCCCUGAAAAAAAACACUAAGGUGGCACGGGACAGUUUUUUGAUACAAUUUAUUGUAGCCAGGGGAUGUGUGUCUUCGGAACUCUGUAGCUAGAAUUUCCUCAGCCAGAUCCCAUUCAGCACAAACACCUUUAAUUCACUCUUUAUCAGGCCAGUCACCAAUUUCUGAAGAAAAUUACUAGUAAAAACUUGUAUGAUUUUAUACAUACUGGUUUUAUGAGAUUUGACCCUUUCAUAUUUUGCUAAUUUUCAUUACUUUUCAGCUCUUUAGACCUCUUCCAGUUAAUUCCCUGCAAAGGGUCGACCUUCCAUGCCGUGUGCAUGUUGCAUCAUCACAUGUCAUAAACUUACCGAUGUAUAGUUUACAAUGUCCUAUCCGCCUAUCCACCUACUUUUCGUGUUAUUUUACCACCCGUUUGUAACUUGCACUUACACUUGUUAAAGUCAACACAACAGUCAGAGCCGCAAGUUUCGCAUUUUACUUCUGAUUAUCAUAUUCUUGACAUAUUAGGUCUACAUAUUGCGUAUUCAUUUCCGGGUUUUUUUCCCGAUUACGACCAAGAGCACACGGCGGGUUUGACCGGUCAGAAGAGGAUGCUCACUCCUCCGAGGUACCUGAUCCUACCUCUAUCUUUUUAGAGGUCCGUGUUUCUCUGCUUUGGAUUUGUAUUUCGUUGUAUGGAUUUUUGAGAUGGUUGACAGUUUAUUAUUGUCAUUUUAUUCAUUUCAACAAGUGACAUUCCUCUAACUAGUGCUUAUUUUCAUGAAUUUUAGCAACACUCAUUAGUCUUUAAGUAAAGCUUCUCUCAAUUUUACAAAGAUACUGACGGGUACUUUAUCUGAAACUAUCCCUUGCUACCUGAGCCCAUUUAGUCUAACAGAUGUGAAUGCAUGUACACGUUAGGCAUCAUGGCCAAUUUUUGUGAGACUGAUUUUUAUUUAUUUUAAACGAAAUGCCAAACUUUAAAGGCGAGUGGCACAUAUCCGCCAAAUGUAUUGAAAUUAACAGGUACAUGUAUAAACUUACAACUUUUAACCUUCCUCAAUUGCUACCAUAUAUUGAGGAAAAUUUUUCUUACAGCUUAACAAUUUACAUGUAAUAUAAAAUUAUGUGAUAUCAUAAUCCAUCCAUGUCAUACUUACUCAUGUAGAUCAUAAUUCUGAAACUUUUAGUACUUGGAUGAAAUGUCAAUAACUGAAAGUUAUUGCAAUCUCUCAGAAAAUACUUUUCAUUGUAAUUUUUCCAUCUUUAUUUUCUGUUUCCAUUGAAACGGUGUAGGCUUUUUAUUUAAAUGGUGUUUUUGUUUGUUUGUUUGUUUUUUUUUUGUAAAAUAAGUCAAACUGCUAAGUGUGAAUAAAAGCUUUUGAUAUUUAC
rnacentral:sRNA from 1 species